GACGAACGCUGGCGGCGUGCUUAACACAUGCAAGUCGAGCGGUAAGGCCCUUUCGGGGGUACGACGAGCGGCGAACGGGUGAGUAACACGUGGGUGACCUGCCCUCAGCUCUGGGAUAAGCCUGGGAAACCGGGUCUAAUACCGGAUAUGACUCCAUGACGCAUGUUGUGGGGUGGAAAGCCUUGUGCGGCUGAGGAUGGGCCCGCGGCCUAUCAGCUUGUUGGUGGGGUGAUGGCCUACCAAGGCGACGACGGGUAGCCGGCCUGAGAGGGCGACCGGCCACACUGGGACUGAGACACGGCCCAGACUCCUACGGGAGGCAGCAGUGGGGAAUCUUGCGCAAUGGGCGAAAGCCUGACGCAGCGACGCCGCGUGAGGGAUGACGGCCUCGG
rnacentral:rRNA from 1 species